rnacentral:tRNA from 6 species
GGAGGGGUGGCCGAGUGGCUGAAGGCGGCGGUUUGCUAAACCGUUAUACGAUGUCAAGUCGUAUCGAGAGUUCGAAUCUCUUCCCCUCCGCCA